rnacentral:lncRNA from 1 species
GUCGCAUAUUCAUAUGUACAUAUGCCACACACAUGUGUGUGUUGGUGGUAGCUCCGCCUCUACCUUUGUUUGUGGGCUCGUAAUUAUGAUGACCGCAUCUUUUUUUCACGCCUUAUUUCCAGCUAAAUUAAUGUAUCGCCACGUAGCCCGCAGCUGGAACCGGCGCAGGAGUCGGAGAUGGAGAUGGCAAUGGAGAUGGAGUCGAGCCAUAAUCCCAGUCGCACUCGUUGUGGGUGCUCUCUGAUUCAGCGUUUCUUUUGCUUCCGUUCUCGUUGCCACUUCCAAUAAUAAAUCACAACAAAAAAAAAGAGCCAAGGCUGCGAGGAAAUUUUAGUGCUCCAUGGCGCCUCCCAUCCUCCCUCUGGGAGCCACUCUCAGCAGCAGAAGUUGGCGGCACACAGAAAACAUCUCAAUGCAGUAUAGGGGCUCCGGUAUAAUCUUCUGUUGGCCAAAGUCAAAGUCUUUGUGUCUUUCCUUUGAGUUGAACUUCACUUUUAUUGCAAGAACUUCUGUAUCUUAGAGAGAUCCAUUCCAAGAGAAC